rnacentral:rRNA from 1 species
AACGAACGUUAGCGGCGCGCCUAACACAUGCAAGUCGAACGCGACUGGGGGCAACUCCAGUUGAGUGGCGCACGGGUGAGUAACACGUAGGUAAUCUCCCCCCGAGUGGUGGAUAACCCUCCGAAAGGAGAGCUAAUACAGCAUGAGACCACGGCUUCGAAAGGAGCUGAGGUCAAAGCGGAGGAUCGCAAGACUUCGCGCUUGGGGAUGAGCCUGCGGCCCAUCAUGGUAGUUGGCGGGGUAAUGGCCCACCAAGCCUUAGACGGGUAGCUGGUCUGAGAGGAUGAUCAGCCACACUGGAACUGAGACACGGUCCAGACUCCUACGGGAGGCAG